NCCGCUUUAGCUCAGUUGGUAGAGCACAUCAUUCGUAAUGAUGGGGUCAGGUGUUCGAGUCACCUAAGCGGCA
rnacentral:tRNA from 1 species